rnacentral:rRNA from 1 species
UGGGGAAUAUUGGACAAUGGGCGCAAGCCUGAUCCAGCCAUGCCGCGUGAGUGAUGAAGGCCCUAGGGUUGUAAAGCUCUUUCACCGGUGAAGAUAAUGACGGUAACCGGAGAAGAAGCCCCGGCUAACUUCGUGCCAGCAGCCGCGGUAAUACGAAGGGGGCUAGCGUUGUUCGGAUUUACUGGGCGUAAAGCGCACGUAGGCGGACUUUUAAGUCAGGGGUGAAAUCCCGGGGCUCAACCCCGGAACUGCCUUUGAUACUGGAAGUCUUGAGUAUGGUAGAGGUGAGUGGAAUUCCGAGUGUAGAGGUGAAAUUCGUAGAUAUUCGGAGGGACACCAGUGGCGAAGGCGGCUCACUGGACCAUUACUGACGCUGAGGUGCGAAAGCGUGGGGAGCAAACAGG